AUCUUUGUGCACGGGCACGCGAGGUAGUCAGUGAGGUUAACAACCGAGACGCUUCCUAUUGCUUAUUGCAAACUAAAAUCCACAACCGUGCGUCGAGCUUAGUCUCGUUCGCCAAUCUCUUGCUAUGAUGCCAUUCC
rnacentral:snRNA from 1 species